CCUACGGGAGGCAGCAGUGGGGAAUUUUGGACAAUGGGCGAAAGCCUGAUCCAGCCAUGCCGCGUGAGUGAAGAAGGCCUUCGGGUUGUAAAGCUCUUUCAGCCGGAAAGAAAUCGCGCAGGCUAAUACUCUGCGUGGAUGACGGUACCGGAAGAAGAAGCACCGGCUAACUACGCGCCAGCAGCCGCGGUAAUACGUAGGGUGCGAGCGUUAAUCGGAAUUACUGGGCGUAAAGCGUGCGCAGGCGGUUAUAUAAGACAGAUGUGAAAUCCCCGGGCUCAACCUGGGAACUGCGUUUGUGACUGUAUGACUAGAGUACGGCAGAGGGAGGUGGAAUUCCGCGUGUAGCAGUGAAAUGCGUAGAUAUGCGGAGGAACACCGAUGGCGAAGGCAGCCUCCUGGGCCAGUACUGACGCUCAUGCACGAAAGCGUGGGGAGCAAACAGGAUUAGAUACCCUGGUAGUCCACGCCCUAAACGAUGUCAACUAGUUGUUCGGUGAGGAGACUCAUUGAGUAACGCAGCACGCGUGAGUGACCGCCGNGGGAGGUACGGCCGCGAACGUUAAAACGUUAAAACGGUAAAGUUAGUACGGACGUAGAGACGNGCCGACGGACGACGACGAGGGAGGAGG
rnacentral:rRNA from 1 species